AGCGAACGCUGGCGGCAGGCCUAACACAUGCAAGUCGAACGAACCUUUCGGGGUUAGUGGCGGACGGGGGAGUAACACGGGGGAACGUGCCUUUAGGUUCGGCAUAACUCAGGGAAACUUGUGCUAAUACCGAAGGUGCCCUUCGGGGGAAAGAGUUAUCGCCUUUAGAGCGGCCCGUGUCUGAUUAGCUAGUUGGUUGAGGUAAUGGCUCACCAAGGCGACGAUCAGUAGCUGGUCUGAGAGAAUGAUCAGACACAUUGGGAGUGAGACACGGCCCAAAAUCUUACGCGAGGGAGGAGUGGGUAAUCUAGCGAAAUGGGCGAAAGGAUGACGCAGCCAUGCCGGGUGAAUGAUGAAGGUCUUAGGAAAGUAAAAUUCUUUCACCGGGGACGAUAAUGACGGUACCCGGAGAAGAAGCCCCGGCUAACUUCGUG
rnacentral:rRNA from 1 species